rnacentral:rRNA from 1 species
GACGAACGCUGGCGGCGUGCUUAACACAUGCAAGUCGAACGGAAAGGCCCUGCUUUUGUGGGGUGCUCGAGUGGCGAACGGGUGAGUAACACGUGAGUAACCUGCCCUUGACUUUGGGAUAACUUCAGGAAACUGGGGCUAAUACCGGAUAGGAGCUCCUGCUGCAUGGUGGGGGUUGGAAAGUUUCGGCGGUUGGGGAUGGACUCGCGGCUUAUCAGCUUGUUGGUGGGGUAGUGGCUUACCAAGGCUUUGACGGGUAGCCGGCCUGAGAGGGUGACCGGCCACAUUGGGACUGAGAUACGGCCCAGACUCCUACGGGAGGCAGCAGUGGGGAAUAUUGCAGAAUGGGCGGAAGCCUGAGGCAGCAACGCCGCGUGCGGGAUGACGGCCUUCGGGUUGUAAACCGCUUUCGCCUGUGACGAAGCGUGAGUGACGGUAAUGGGUAAAGAAGCACCGGCUAACUACGUG